GAAAAUUGAUAAAUGGUAUUGGGGAUAUGAUGAACAUCCAAGUUGUUGUUGAAGGAUCAAUGAACAGUUCAAAUCCGUACUUCUCAAGUUCUUGGCGGCGAAAUUUUACAGGAGGUUUCAUUCUAGACAUGGGGGUACAUUUCAUCGCAGGAUUGAGAAUGAUGAUCGGGUGUGAGAUUGCCAGAGUAUCUGCUAUUACUCGUCAUGUGGAUACAACAUUGCCAUCUCCUGAUAAUCUAUGCUCCCUUUUCACAUUGGAAAAUGGAUGUG
rnacentral:misc_RNA from 1 species